CAGUAGCCGCGGGAAUGCGAAGGGUGCAAGCGUUAAUCGGAAUUACUGGGCGUAAAGCGUGCGUAGGCGGUGAGUUAAGUCUGCUGUGAAAUCCCCGGGCUUAACCUGGGGGCUGCAUUUGAGACGUCAAGACUAGAGUGUGAGAGAGGGUUGUGGAAUUCCCAGUGUAGAGGUGAAAUUCGUAGAUAUUGGGAAGAACACCGGUGGCGAAGGCGGCCCCCUGGACAAAGACUGACGCUCAGGUGCGAAAGCGUGGGGAGCAAACAGGAUUAGAUACCCCCGUAGUCCCUGUCUCUUAUAC
rnacentral:rRNA from 1 species